UACGGGGGGGCAAGCGUUGUUCGGAAUUACUGGGCGUAAAGCGUACGUAGGCGGCUUUGUAAGUUAGAGGUGAAAGCCCGGGGCUCAACCCCGGAAUUGCCUUUAAGACUGCAUCGCUUGAACGUCGGAGAGGUGAGUGGAAUUCCGAGUGUAGAGGUGAAAUUCGUAGAUAUUCGGAAGAACACCAGUGGCGAAGGCGACUCACUGGACGACUGUUGACGCUGAGGUACGAAAGCGUGGGGAGCAAACAGG
rnacentral:rRNA from 1 species